rnacentral:rRNA from 1 species
AACGAACGCUGGCGGCAGGCUUAACACAUGCAAGUCGAGCGCCCCGCAAGGGGAGCGGCAGACGGGUGAGUAACGCGUGGGAAUCUACCCAUCUCUACGGAAUAACGCAUGGAAACGUGUGCUAAUACCGUAUACGUCCUUCGGGAGAAAAAUUUAUCGGAGAUGGAUGAGCCCGCGUUGGAUUAGCUAGUUGGUGGGGUAAAGGCCUACCAAGGCGACGAUCCAUAGCUGGUCUGAGAGGAUGAUCAGCCACACUGGGAUUGAGACACGGCCCAGACUCCUACGGGAGGCAGCAGUGGGGAAUAUUGGACAAUGGGCGCAAGCCUGAUCCAGCCAUGCCGCGUGAGUGAUGAAGGCCCUAGGGUUGUAAAGCUCUUUCACCGGUGAAGAUAAUGACGGUAACCGGAGAAGAAGCCCCGGCUAACUUCGUGCCAGCCGCCGCAGUAAGAC